UCGAGGGUAUAUUCCAAGAAAGUCACAUCUACACUACUCAUGGGGCUAACAUUUGAAAGUUGAAAUGGCCAAUAGUUGGUUUAGUAGAUUUUCCUUAGACACCAUAAGCCAAUGCUUCCGCAACGAUAAGCGUGGCUUGCUCAGUUGGUAAAAGCACAUUCACUUACGACCAUUAGGUCUUGCGUCUUAGUCACUAGGGAAAUGUGAAAGUACUAUAAAUUCUCCUACUUUAGGAGUGGUUUGAAAAAAUGCUUCCACAACCCACUAAGAGUCAAAAUUAUUAAACAUUAUCUUUUAUAUAUAUCCCUCUAUCUGCAUUGUCUUAAGGGAUUUUACAUAUACAUCCCAUAUAACAAACCUUACUACCAUUAUUGUGCAUGGUUUGUUUAUUACNN
rnacentral:lncRNA from 1 species